CCCGAUACACUCCCUGUGGCUGAGCCCGGAUGGGGUGCAAGUCUUGUUCACUAACUUGGCGCCCACUCAGUCCCGCUCAGGGAGGCAAGCCCCUGCCUCGUUCUGUUUUCUGGAGGAGGGUGUGGGAGAUUGGGAGGGCAAGGCAGAAAGGCUGUGUCUCUUGUCCUGAACUGAUUCCCCUUUGGAAAGAAGACAGUCACUGAGAGGAGGAGACAAACAGGUGAGCGGUAAAAAUGCCCCUAAACUAAACAGGACAUUAAGACCUCAGCAAGGCGCUCAGGCUCACUCCCCAGUCACCCGUCAGGUCUGAGGAGCAUUCUUAAGACCCAGACCGCCAUUCUCCUUCCAAGAUGAGGCUGGUUCUCAGGGGGAAGGGAACAGAAGUAGUUAAGUCCGUGGCAAUGAACCUGUGCCAUUUACACUCGGUCAAGUUCUGUGCUGGAAAUCUUUCGUUUUUAAAAGGGAGAAAGCUGUGUAUCCCAUCCUACUGCUCUCCCCCACCAUGUGGUUAAAGGAGAAAGAAUCGCAACUCGGAAAGGAGCCGAACGAGAGACGUGGUCACAGAACUUGGUCUGGAAACGUGUGGGCUGAAACCUGAGAACCCAGUUCAGGUCUAGACUGGCUUCUAGAGAGGAUUUGAUGUCUAACUGGCCAACAGAAGUGACGAAACUCCCCCUGGGGUCAAAGGAAUUCUGUCGGACCCCUGACGGGGAGAACUGAUCAGCAGCGUUGGGGAGAUGGGGGAGCCUCCUCCAAGUGUUUAGGGCCUUUCUGGAUUUUUCCCUUCCCUCACCUGCAGGAAGCUGGGAUCAUCUGGGGGAUGGGUCUGGCCCUGACCGUCCUCUUGGGAACUGCCAGUUCCGAGGGCGCUGGUGGACAGCCAGGUAGAUAUGAUUGAACAGGUCUCUGUGGCGGCUGCCUGCUGGCUGUGCCCAGCAGGCUGUGACAACAACUCAGACAGGAGAGCCGCUCGGCUUAGAAACGCACCAUGAGCAGGCCACACCGCCCGGAGAACAGUGGACGGUCACAGGGCUUCCCAGGCUCCCAUCUUCCAAAGUGGGAUAUUUUUUUUUUGAUGCAAAGAAGCCGGCAGCGAGAGCCCUCAUCAUAGAAGGAUCUUUCUCCAGGAGGUGCUACCCUGUCCUGCCCACCCCAGCUUCCACCAGCAGCUUCCUUUAUGCUCCCUUUCCCACCUCCCAUGCAGCUUCCACAGAUUCCCCAAGUGGCCUUGGAGUGUUCACUCAGCAGACAACAUCAUGUCCUGAAAAGCCAGUGGAUGGCACCUCCCUGGCCGGCUCUGGCAGAGAGAGAAGUGAUGCGCAUGCCCAGCAGCUUCCAGAAUUGGUUUUGAAAGUGGAACUCUCGGUGCCCACUCCUGGCACUGACUAGACGUGGGGCCGAGUGUGUUCCCGUCCUCGCCGGAGUGGACAACGCCUACACGUAUAGGGGCUCCGGUCCUGCCUGCCCUAAGCUGAAGUCGCUGUGUCCACAUCAUCUGCAUGAUGGGAGCAGAGUCCCCCAUGAUUGUUGGAAAUCUCUUUGUUUGGCACAGGGCUUUACACACAGGAGGUUCUACUAAAAAGUGGAAUAAAUGUGUAACGGACACUUUCA
rnacentral:lncRNA from 1 species